rnacentral:rRNA from 1 species
UACGUAGGGGGCUAGCGUUGUCCGGAAUCAUUGGGCGUAAAGGGCUCGUAGGUGGCCAACUAAGUCGGACGUGAAAUCCCUCGGCUUAACCGGGGAACUGCGUCCGAUACUGGUUGGCUUGAGUUUGGGAGAGGGAUGCGGAAUUCCAGGUGUAGCGGUGAAAUGCGUAGAUAUCUGGAGGAACACCGGUGGCGAAGGCGGCAUCCUGGACCAAUACUGACGCUGAGGAGCGAAAGCCAGGGGAGCAAACGGG